CUCUCUAUGAAUACAUAUUGGACGCAAUAGCGAGACGUGGUGACAAUCGUGGCAAAAGUCUUAUAACUGAUUAUACAGUUUUACGAAAAAUUUGGACCCAUCCCAAAGUUUUAGAGGACGCUUGGAAAAAUGCUAAUAAGGGUAGCGGGUCGUGAACUUUUUUUGGCAGGGAGAUUCAAAUCAGGACAAGCUUAAUUGCAUGACUACGGCAGAUAAGACUUGAUUUUUACUUUAAUUCGGCAACACAAAUUUGAUGGCACUUCUCUGCUCAAUUAAAUCAGACAUAGCACACUGGGCCCGAAGUUUAGCCAAAAGUCGUUUUUUUUUAAUUGAGAAAAUUAUUAAAAUAAGAAAGAAUAAGUAAAAUAAGAAUUUAUUUUUAAAGUUGCAAGAUUAUGCAAUAUUGAAUACAAAGUCAAAAAAUCUAGUUGAAAGAGAUGAAUACUUAUCUUAACGAAAUGCAUCAUUGCAUAAUGUCAAGUAAAAAUUUAACUUAGCUAAAUUUCUUACUUUUUUAUAAAUUACCGAAAAAAAACUUUAAAAUAUCAUGAAUUUUCUCGCAAUGGCAUAGAAUUAGAAUUUAGAAAUACUUUCGGGUACCCUUCGGAAAUGAAGUGUUAUGUUAUGUUAUUUUAUUUUCUCGUACGAGAACUAAAAUAAACAUAUAUAUAUAAUAGUGCAUGCGCUGCAAGGGCCCGUAUGAAGACGUCAUAAAGCAUUUUAAAUUUAAAAGAUAUUUAACCAAUAUAACUAUUAUAUAUAAUAUUUUACUUUUGAUGAUGCUGAUUCAAAGAUGAAACAGAAAAAAUAUAUAUAUUUUUGUUGAAU